CCGUGAACCUUUACUAUAGCUUGACACUGAACAUUGAGCCUUGAUGUGUAGGAUAGGUGGGAGGCUUUGAAGUGUGGACGCCAGUCUGCAUGGAGCCGACCUUGAAAUACCACCCUUUAAUGUUUGAUGUUCUAACGUGGACCCGUAAUCCGGGUUGCGGACAGUGUCUGGUGGGUAGUUUGACUGGGGCGGUCUCCUCCUAAAGAGUAACGGAGGAGCACGAAGGUUGGCUAAUCCUGGUCGGACAUCAGGAGGUUAGUGCAAUGGCAUAAGCCAGCUUGACUGCGAGCGUGACGGCGCGAGCAGGUGCGAAAGCAGGUCAUAGUGAUCCGGUGGUUCUGAAUGGAAGGGCCAUCGCUCAACGGAUAAAAGGUACUCCGGGGAUAACAGGCUGAUACCGCCCAAGAGUUCAUAUCGACGGCGGUGUUUGGCACCUCGAUGUCGGCUCAUCACAUCCUGGGGCUGAAGUAGGUCCCAAGGGUAUGGCUGUUCGCCAUUUAAAGUGGUACGCGAGCUGGGUUUAGAACGUCGUGAGACAGUUCGGUCCCUAUCUGCCGUGGGCGCUGGAGAACUGAGGGGGGCUGCUCCUAGUACGAGAGGACCGGAGUGGACGCAUCACUGGUGUUCGGGUUGUCAUGCCAAUGGCACUGCCCGGUAGCUAAAUGCGGAAGAGAUAAGUGCUGAAAGCAUCUAAGCACGAAACUUGCCCCGA
rnacentral:rRNA from 2 species